rnacentral:lncRNA from 1 species
GCCCUCUCCUAUCUCAGUGAGGCAGACUUUUUGAGGUAGAAAGGAAAUAAUGGGUACUCACUGGUCAAAUCUCAUAGCGCUGAUUGGUGCCUGAGCAUGUGGUAGCCAUCCACAGGAAACUCAUCAAAAAGCAACAGAAAGUUCUUCCACUUGCGGUGUUUCUACUUAUGUGCAUUGCUGACCUUCAGUUAGCUUUGUGAAGCAUUUCGCACAGGGGAAACAUCUCAGCGUUGUGCUAGCUCAGAACCUACUGAAUUAAAGGAAAGGAUCUUGUGAAAUGCUCUGCUUUCCUGCACUGUGACUUGCUCUUCUCCUGUGCAGCCAGUUUAGUGUUCUACAACUGAAAUAGAAACAGCCCCUGGGGAGAAAAGGACCUCUCUCCAUCCCAGGAUGAGACUCAUCUGAAGAUUUUGCGCUUCCUUGAGUUAGAAAUCAUGAACAGGGACAUUAACAGGAAAACAAUAGUAGAGCACCCAGAAGAUUCAAACAGCAGGAAGAUAACUUUGCCAAAAAAUAGGUCUUGCCCAAAUAUAUGUGCAGCAAUGAAUCUGGAAUCAAAUCCAAAAGAAAACAAGAGAAGAAAUAUUCCUGCUAGUACAUAUGGUUUUAGCAAAGAUUUGACAAGGAAGGGCAGCAAUGAGUUAAAAUCUCCCUCCAAAAUAUCACAUGAGGAGGAAGGUGAUUAUGAGACUGUAAGUAGUUCCACUCUGGAAGCCAUGCAUGCUUUGAGAAUUCUUCCAGCCAAACCUCUACAAGAAUCUGAAUAUGCAGACACACGUUGUUUAAAGCCUUUAGGUACCACUUCCCGUGUGACUAACCAGCACACAUCUUCUCAGCCUCCUCAAUACUUGACUGUAAGUAAAGAUAUUAAGCCUAAUUCAUGAUAUAUUUCUCCUUAUCUGUGAUAGUGCUUAAAGUUAAGUGCAGCUUACCUAUAAUCUUAGCCAAAUAACAUUUAAUUUUUACAAGUUCACAACAGUUGCAUUGUGUUCCUGUUUCACUUUGCAACAAAUAUUAUUGUUGUUGUCCUUGUAACUUACGGGAACCAUAUCAACUGUAUCUAUCUAUAUAUAUCUAAGUAUACUUAUGUCAUACCUAUAUUUAUGGGAGACAAUCAGCCCCACAACUGUGCUUAAUGCCUAACCCUGCUGCUUUCACUUAUUAACUGCACAAGAUCAAGACUGGAUCUACAAAGGAAGCAUUUGGAGGCAUCUCAGUCAAGAACAACACUGUUUCUGUUAGCUAUAGUUUCAUGUGUAAUGACUAACAUCGUAUCUUGAUUUUAUUUUAUUAACAGAAACACAUGUCCAUUCUAGAGGGGAUGAG